GCUAGCGUAGCUUAAUACAAAGCAUAACACUGAAGAUGUUAAAAUGGGCCCUGAGAAGCUCCGCAUGCA
rnacentral:tRNA from 7 species